rnacentral:rRNA from 1 species
UGGGGAAUAUUGGACAAUGGGCGAAAGCCUGAUCCAGCCAUGCCGCGUGAGUGACGAAGGCCUUAGGGUUGUAAAACUCUUUCGUCGGGGACGAUAAUGACGGUACCCGAAGAAGAAGCUCCGGCUAACUUCGUGCCAGCAGCCGCGGUAAUACGAAGGGAGCUAGCGUUGCUCGGAAUCACUGGGCGUAAAGCGCACGUAGGCGGAUAGUUAAGUCAGGGGUGAAAUCCUGGGGCUCAACCCCAGAACUGCCUUUGAUACUGGCUGUCUCGAGGUCGAGAGAGGUUGGUGGAAUUCCUAGUGUAGAGGUGAAAUUCGUAGAUAUUCGGAAGAACACCAGUGGCGAAGGCGGCUCACUGGACGUGUAUUGACGCUGAGGUACGAAAGCGUGGGGAGCAAACAGGAUUAGAUACCCCCGUAGUCCCUGAGCGGGCUGGCAAGGCGCAU